AUGAUUGAAGAUCAACUCCAACUGGCAUCGGAAUUGGAUGAAAUGGGCGUAACAUCAUCAGCACGUCUGCUCCUCGAGUGUAGCAUUCUGCAUUCGCGUCUUCUUUCUCUGUUCACUUCCCUGCUUGCUUCCAUGGAAUCUUCCUUUCUUUGCAACAUCCUUUAUUCAAAAACAAACUAUCAUACAUCUUCAUUCAUAUGCUGA